ACCAAACCUCACUCUUCAGACAUUUCUUCUUCUCUUGCCUCUGUCUUCUCUCUUCAAUCUCUUCUCAUUGAGCCAUCGGAUUGUUGAUCAGGUAGUGUUCGAGCGUUCCCAGCGUAGAGGGCUCCGUUUUGAACCGAUCACUUUCUUCCUUCUCACUAGGUUUGGUUGGGUCCUUGCUGUGUGAGAUACUGUAGAGAAGCGUUCUUCUGAGUUGGGCAGUUCAACUCUGAGAAAGAUGACACCUAGGCCUCCUCCUCCUCCACCCACACCAACUGAACCAUCUGAGUCAACAAGGAUGCUUGAAUCAGUUCUCCAAACAAUGCAACAGCAGCAUACUGCCUUAGUGCAGCGAAAUAUUAGCUAAACCUCAUUGAGUGUUUGCAUUUCCAUUACAUUAAAGAGUGAUUUAUUAUCUAUUUAAAACAUAUUUAUCAUCUACAAUCUUAUUAUAUAUCAAUAAUCCAAAUAAUUCAAA